rnacentral:lncRNA from 13 species
AUGUCUUUCAUUCAAUGCAGACUGUUUCCUAAGUUUUUACAUCAAAAUCUGGAAGAGUCAGCUGCUGAUCCUCUCCCCAAGAAGAUGAAAGAUUCAGUGGCUGGAGUGCACUGGCCCAAUCUUCGUUCACUGCAACCUCGGCCUCCUAAGUUCAAGUGAUUCUUCCUCCUCAGCCUCUGGAAUAUCUGGGACCACAGGUGAGUGCCACCACGUCUGGGUAAUAUUUUUGUAUUUUUAGUAGAGAUGGGAUUUCACCAUGUUGGCCAGGAUGGUCUCGAUCUCUUGACCUCAUGAUCCACUGGUCUUAGCCUUCCAAAGUGCUGGGAUUCUAGGAAUGAGCCAUCUCGCCUGGCUUUUGUUUAUUUAUUUACAUAAUUACUGAUUUAUUUACUUAGAGGCAGGAAGGCCUGCUUGCAUUUAUUUAUUUAUGUUUUUAUUUAGUAAGUUAAUUAUUUUCAUUUUAUUAUUUUUAUAAAUAGAGAUAGGGACUUUUUCACCAUCUUGGCCAGGCUGGUCUUGAUGUCCUGACCUCAGGUGGUAUUGCUGGCUGAAGCUCCCAAUGGGCGGGGUAUUAAAAACAUGAACCACCAAGUGGGGCUGCUUAUUUAUUGAUUUAAUUUAUCUAUUUAUCUAUGAUUUAUUUGGAGGCAGAGUUGCAUUUAUUUAUUGAAUUAUUUGCUGGCAUACUAAUGGAGAAGCAGGUCGAAUUUAUUUAUUUAUUUAAAUAUUUGGAGACAGGCUUGGAUUUAUGUAUUUAUCUAUCUAGCUAGCUGAUUAUUUAGAGGCAGGCUCACAUUUACUCAAUUAUUUUAUUUAGACCCAGGCUCACAACAUUAUUUUUAUACUUCUAUAUUUGUGUUCAGGCUUGCAUUUAUUCAUUUUCUUAACUAUCUGUAUAA